AGCAGCCGCGGUAAUUCCAGCUCCAAUAGCGUAUAUUAAAGUUGCUGCAGUUAAAAAGCUCGUAGUUGAAUUUCGGGACCAUCAUGUUGGUCGUGCCUCGGUACGUACUGGCAUUGUUGGUUUCUCCCUUCUGACGAACCAUGAUGUCAUUUAUUUGGUGUCGUGGGAAAUCAGGACUGUUACUUUGAAAAAAUUAGAGUGUUUAAAGCAGGCUCACGCUUGAAUACAUUAGCAUGGAAUAAUGAAAUAGGACGUUUGAUUCUAUUUUGUUGGUUUCUAGGAUCGACGUAAUGAUUAAUAGGGAUAGUUGGGGGCAUUAGUAUUCAAUUGUCAGAGGUGAAAUUCUUGGAUUUAUUGAAGACUAACUACUGCGAAAGCAUUUGCCAAGGAUGUUUUCAUUAAUCAAGAACGAAAGUUAGGGGAUCGAAGACGAUCAGAUACCGUCGUAGUCUUAACCAUAAACUAUGCCGACUAGGGAUCGGAUGAUGUUAAUUUUUU
rnacentral:misc_RNA from 1 species